UUUCCGUAGGUGAACUUGCGGAAGGAUCAUUAAUGAGUUGUCAUGGGGUUCGAUGCUGGCAGCCAAUUUUUGGAUGCAUGUGCUUGCCCUAACAAUCAUCUUCCAAACACCUGUGCACAUUUUUGAGGGAGUCUUGAGUUGGUUGCCGCUCUUGGGUGAUUUUCUCACAUUCCCUUAAAUCAUUAUACGCUAUUAACAAUGUUGAACGUGCUCUGUGCCGCAAGGCUAUUAAUAUAAUACAACUUUUAACAACGGAUCUCUUGGCUCUC
rnacentral:misc_RNA from 1 species